AUGGGGCAAGGGAACUAUGUUCUUCUGUUAUUUGAUAAUUGGGAUGGUAACAGAUUCAUUGAUAGAUUCCCUGAGCUUCAUUCUUUUGUUGUGAAUGACCAAUUCUCAAUUGAGCAAGCAUUGCACAUCAACCCUCCAGAGGAUCUAUUCCAUAGGCCACUCUCCACCCAAACUUUCCAGCAGUUCCAGGGUUCCCAAAACUUUAUGAAUAAUAUUCAGUUUUCUGGCUCCAAAGACAAAUGGUCUUACAUCUGGGGAUCUUCUCAGUCCUCUAUUGCAAAGGUUUACAAAACCUUGAGGGUUAAACCACCUACACCACCUCUCUUCAACCUGUUAUGGAAGAGCUCAGUAAUCCUUUGA
rnacentral:rRNA from 1 species